CCUACGGGUGGCAGCAGUGGGGAAUAUUGCACAACGGGGGGAACCCUGAUGCAGCGACGCCGCGUGAGUGAAGAAGUAUUUCGGUAUGUAAAGCUCUAUCAGCAGGGAAGAAAAUGACGGUACCUGACUAAGAAGCCCCGGCUAACUACGUGCCAGCAGCCGCGGUAAUACGUAGGGGGCAAGCGUUAUCCGGAUUUACUGGGUGUAAAGGGAGCGUAGACGGUAGCGCAAGUCUGGAGUGAAAGGCGGGGGCCCAACCCCCGGACUGCUUUGGAAACUGCGAUGCUAGAGUGCAGGAGAGGUAAGCGGAAUUCCUAGUGUAGCGGUGAAAUGCGUAGAUAUUAGGAGGAACACCAGUGGCGAAGGCGGCUUACUGGACAGUAACUGACGUUGAGGCUCGAAAGCGUGGGGAGCAAACAGGAUUAGAUACCCUGGUAGUC
rnacentral:rRNA from 1 species